rnacentral:rRNA from 1 species
CUUCGCGCUGAAAUUAAGCAUAUCAAUAAGCGGAGGAAAAGAAACUNACAAGGACUCNCCUAGUAACUGCGAGUGAAGCGGGAUCGAGCUCAAAUNUGAUAUCUGGCGGUUACGCCGUCCGAGUCGUAUUCNGGAGAAGCGUUUUCCGUGCUGGCCNGNGUNCAAGUNCCUUGGAACAGGGCGUCAUAGAGGGUGAGAAUCCCGUCUUUGACACGGACUUCCAGUGNUAUGCGAUGCGCUCUCGAAGAGUCGAGUUGUUUGGGAAUGCAGCUCAAUACGGGUGGUACAUUCCAUCUAAAGCUAAAUAUUGGCGAGAGACUGAUAGCGAGCAAGUACCGUGAGGGAAAGAUGAAAAGCACUUUAGAAAGAGAGUAAAACAGUACGUGAAAUUGUUGAAAGGGAAACGCUUGAAGUCAGUCGCGUCUUCUGGAACUCACCCUUGCUUCUGCUCGGUGCACUUUCCAGUUCGCCGGUCCAGCAUCGGUUUCGAGGGGUAGACAAAGGUUCGGGGAAGGUGGCACCUCCGGGUGUGUUAUAGCCCCUUGCUGCAUGUGCCCUUUGGGACCGAGGAAUCCGGCGCCUGGCGCUUGGGAUGCUGGCGUAAUGGCUGUAAACGACC